CUAAAUAUUAAUUUAUUUUAUUUAAUGUGGCUAUGUGUAAUUAAUUAUAUUUAGUAAUUAAGUAAGGCAUGGAUUUUUUUUAUAUAGAUGUGCAUAUAUGUGUGUAUGUGUGUUUGGUUGAUCGGGCUUGAGUUGUGUGCUAUGGACCAAGUGCGUGGGGGGCCCAUAUGUGAUGGAGUUUCUUUUAAUAUAAGCCUUUAGGGUUAACUAUUAUUAAUUGUUAGCUUUAUGGGUGUUAGUGUAAUGACUCAAAGCAUUAUAGAAGAUGGAACAAUAGUUUAAUUCUUGAAGGGGCCAUAGUGCAAUUUUGCACUUUAAAAGGCUGAAGUCAGCCGAGAACUCUCUGGAGUUCUGUUUUUCUUUUUUCUUUUUUCUUUUUUCCCUUUUUCCCGUUCUCUCUCUCUCUCUCUCUCUCUCUCUCUCUCUCUCAACUCUACCCAAACCCUAGACUUCAAUCCCAAAAUUGGAUGUCAAGAUUCGAGAAUAUCGCAAAAAGGGAAGAAAAGGACGUGAUCUACGGACAAAGGGCUACGCAUCUAUCCCAACAAUGUCGCAUUCGGCCAACUUUGGUGUUCCUAGCAUUUCGGGAUUCAGCUCUUUUGAGGUAAGGCGGUGGAUCCGAAGACAUGAUAGUUUUUGAUUUGUUAUAUUUUUUUUUUGGGAGCUUAGUUGAUAUACUUGUAUUCCACUAAUUUGAUGGUAAGAUUUUGGAAGUCCUGUGACUUGGUAUUCUUUUGAGUUUGUAAUAAAUUUAAUCACAUAUUUUGACUCUCUCAAAAACUUGAACGUGAAUACGCUUAUAG